rnacentral:rRNA from 1 species
GACGAACGCUGGCGGCGUGCUUAACACAUGCAAGUCGAACGGCAAGGCCCUGCUUUUGUGGGGUGCUCGAGUGGCGAACGGGUGAGUAACACGUGAGUAACCUGCCCUUGACUUUGGGAUAACUUCAGGAAACUGGGGCUAAUACCGGAUAGGAGCUCCUGCUGCAUGGUGGGGGUUGGAAAGUUUCGGCGGUUGGGGAUGGACUCGCGGCUUAUCAGCUUGUUGGUGGGGUAGUGGCUUACCAAGGCUGUGACGGGUAGCCGGCCUGAGAGGGUGACCGGCCACAUGGGGACUGAGAUACGGCCCAGACUCCUACGGGAGGCAGCAGUGGGGAAUAUUGCACAAUGGGCGGAAGCCUGAUGCAGCAACGCCGCGUGCGGGAUGACGGCCUUCGGGUUGUAAACCGCUUUCGCCUGUGACGAAGCGUGAGUGACGGUAAUGAGUAAAGAAGCACCGGCUAACUACGUG